UACGGAGGGGGCUAGCGUUGUUCGGAAUCACUGGGCGUAAAGCGCACGUAGGCGGAUCUUUAAGUCAGGGGUGAAAUCCCGAGGCUCAACCUCGGAACUGCCUUUGAUACUGGGGAUCUCGAGUUCGGGAGAGGUGAGUGGAACUGCGAGUGUAGAGGUGAAAUUCGUAGAUAUUCGCAAGAACACCAGUGGCGAAGGCGGCUCACUGGCCCGAUACUGACGCUGAGGUGCGAAAGCGUGGGGAGCAAACAGG
rnacentral:rRNA from 1 species